rnacentral:rRNA from 1 species
CUAAUCCCUCAAAUUUCGCCUCAGUUCAGAUUGAGGGCUGAAACCCGCCCUCAUGAAGCCGGAAUUGGUAGUAAUCGCGGAUCAGCAAGCCGCGGUGAAUACGUUCUCGGGUCUUGUACA